UCAAAUGCAGCUUUAGCAUAAUGUUGGCAUGAAUGAGAUUCAUACCUUGCUUCGUGCUUAUGUUGAUCACAGUUCACAAGACACAAACGAUCAUCAUGGAGUGAAAUCAAAACAUUUACUCUAUCCAGAUCUUCAAGGUGGAGUUUCCCUGAUGUAAUGGUAAGAUCAAUUUAAUGGUAAGAACGUUCAUGACUUUUGAUGGAGUUUCCCUUAUUAUACAAGUAUGAUCAAUUUUUUCUCUUCGAUGAAACUUUGGCAACUUUGAAUGCGUGAUUCACCUUGAUGGCUUAACUUUGCAGUGACACUUGAAUUAUAUGCGUCAGAAUCAGUUAUGAACUAUCUAUGAUUUAUUUGAAUUGGGUUUUGUUAGAGUAAGUAGUACUAAAUGAUUGUGUUCAAAGUGGUUAAUAAUAAUAGUAAGGUGUGAAGCUGAAUCAGAAUCAGUUAAAAUGAUGGACUAAGGGUGCAGGCCAGAAGCUGAAAUUGCUGCUCUCAGGCAUGAACUUACACAAGAAGUUGUUGCUUGGUAUAAACUAACCAUCCUAAUGUCACAAAAGGCUCUGAGUGAGAAAGGCUAUGAACUUGUUUCCGGUGGGACUGAAAAUCAUCUAGUUUUGGUGAAUAUGAAGAAAAAGGUAACCCGAUAACUACUUUGACUUUGCUUGAGAAGAUGAAGUCGGUGUACACGAAUGUAGAAGGUCUUCCUCCGAAUUGAAUUGUGGAAAGCAAUUGCUUCUCUAGGGCGUGGUAUUUUGGCCAUGGAUGAAUCCAAUGGUACAUGUGGAAAGCGGUUGGAUUCAAUUGGACUAGAGAACAACCGAAGCUAACCGUCAAGCAUGGCGUAAAAUUAUAUAUGAAGAAAGUGUUAUGACUUGGUUAAAAUAUAAUUUUUAUGUGUAUGAUUUUAUAGUACUUGAAAUAUUAUGAAUGCACAUGAUUUUGUAUACUUUUGGUUAAUAUUAAAAAUAUUUUGACUUAGUUAAAAUA